AGGCUCGACGCGCGUGCGAGGCGGCCAUUUUGAAAUGCCGACGGCUAUAUGGUAAUGCAGAUUUAGUGUCGUACUCAAUUCUAAUGUGCACGCAAUUUUUGGGCCCGUUUUAUCGGAAAAGAAGUGUGCGUUAGAUUCGAGUAACUACGGUAUUUUACGAGCAAAUUG
rnacentral:lncRNA from 1 species